GAGUGAAGCGGCAACAGCUCAAAUUUGAAAUCUGGCUCUUUUAGAGUCCGAGUUGUAAUUUGCAGAGGGCGCUUUGGUGUUGGCAGCGGUCCAAGUUCUUUGGAACAGGACGUCACAGAGGGUGAGAAUCCCGUACGUGGUCGCUAGCCCUCACCGUGUAAAGCCCCUUCGACGAGUCGAGUUGUUUGGGAAUGCAGCUCUAAAUGGGAGGUAAAUUUCUUCUAAAGCUAAAUAUUGGCCAGAGACCGAUAGCGCACAAGUAGAGUGAUCGAAAGAUGAAAAGCACUUUGGAAAGAGAGUCAAAUAGCACGUGAAAUUGUUGAAAGGGAAGCGCUUGCAGCCAGACUUGCCUGUAGUUGCUUAUCUAGACUUCUGUCUAGUGCACUCUUCUAUAGGCAGGCCAGCAUCAGUUUGGGCGGUUGGAUAAAGGUCUCUGUCACGUACCUCCUCUCGGGGAGGCCUUAUAGGGGAGACGACAUGCAACCAGCCUGGACUGAGGUCCGCGCAUCUGCUAGGAUGCUGGCGUAAUGGCUGUAAGCGGCCCGUCUUGAAACACGGACCAAGGAGUCUAACAUCUAUGCGAGUGUUUGGGUGUCAAGCCCAUACGCGUAAUGAAAGUGAACGGAGGUGGGAACCUUAGGGUGCACCAUCGACCGAUCCUGAUGUCUUCGGAUGGAUUUGAGUAAGAGCAUGGCUGUUGGGACCCGAAAGAUGGUGAACUAUGCUUGAAUAGGGUGAAGCCAGAGGAAACUCUGGUGGAGGCUCGCAGCGGUUCUGACGUGCAAAUCG
rnacentral:rRNA from 1 species